rnacentral:tRNA from 1 species
GCCCCCGUAGCUCAGCCUGGAUAGAGCGCCUGGCUUCUAACCAGGAGGUCGGGGGUUCGAAUCCUCCCGGGGGCA